rnacentral:rRNA from 1 species
GGUUGCUCCUAGUACGAGAGGACCGGAGUGGACGGACCGCCGGUGUACCAGUUGUUUCGCCAGAAGCAUAGCUGGGUAGCUGCGUCCGGAAGGGAUAAACGCUGAAAGCAUCUAAGCGUGAAGCCCGUCUCGAGAUGAAGUAUCUCAUAGAGUUAAUCUAGUAAGACUCCUUGAAGAAGACAAGGUAGAUAGGUUGGGAGUGGAAGUGCUGUAAGGCAUGUAGCGGACCAAUACUAAUAAGUCGAGGGCUUAACUUUU